GUGGGGAAUAUUGGACAAUGGGCGAAAGCCUGAUCCAGCCAUGCCGCGUGUGUGAAGAAGGUCUUCGGAUUGUAAAGCACUUUAAGUUGGGAGGAAGGGCAGUAAGUUAAUACCUUGCUGUUUUGACGUUACCGACAGAAUAAGCACCGGCUAACUUCGUGCCAGCAGCCGCGGUAAUACGAAGGGUGCAAGCGUUAAUCGGAAUUACUGGGCGUAAAGCGCGCGUAGGUGGUUUUGUAAGUUGGAGGUGAAAGCCCCGGGCUCAACCUGGGAACUGCCUCCAAAACUGCAUGACUAGAGUACGGUAGAGGGUAGUGGAAUUUCCUGUGUAGCGGUGAAAUGCGUAGAUAUAGGAAGGAACACCAGUGGCGAAGGCGACUACCUGGACUGAUACUGACACUGAGGUGCGAAAGCGUGGGGAGCAAACAGGAUUAGAUACCCGUGUAGUCC
rnacentral:rRNA from 1 species